GUGAAAUCAGCAAGGCCAGUCGAGCUGCCUUUGGUCCUCAGCUUUCAAUUACUAUGUAUGCUGUAGGAAUCACAGGCAGCAGUGCCAUGUCAUUUCCAUGUUAAUAUAUGUGAUAUAUGAAAGGUAACUCUGGCAGUAACUCUGUUGGAAAAGGUUCAUGAAGGGAUGCAAUCAUCUAGAGCUAUAAAACCUGAAUCAUGGAUUUGGGCAUAGGGAGAACCACAGUUGUCAUGAUGGGGCAGGCCUGUGAAUGCGCAGUAAAGUGUUUUCCCUUAGUCAUCCCACAUAAAAUCACACGUCUGUGGUCUCACUAGACAAACCAGGCUGUAUUUCCCAGGCGAUAUUCAGGUCUUUGACUACGGAUGGAUGGUUUCUUCUUUUUCUUUUAUUCUCUUUUUUUUUCUGUCCAACUUGGAGUGUUUGCUUGACAAACACAGCUCUUGUUGAAGCAAACCUCUAUUUGGGGUUUCCUGGGCAGGGUCGUGCCCCAGAAGGAGUGGCCUCUGUCCAGGCAGUUACACCCUCCCAUGCACAAAUGUAGCUCCCGUUGUGGACAAGUAGGACACUGACAAUCUCUUGUCCAACCUGUCUCCCAGGAGCUUGGAUAACUCGACCCAUCCCCCAGAUUCUGGUCAAACAGAUAGGCAGGCAGAAAACAUGAUGCCUGGCACGCAGAUCUAAGAGUACACAUAAGAGCUGCGUGUUAACUUUUAUCCCCCAAACAACUCCAGAUGUUAGGUAUUGGGAGGCUUCCCUGGCCCUUCACCCUCAGUUCAAUUCUCUGCCCAUCUAGGAAAUGACUGCUUCCUAUUCUGUGCUCCCAUGGAGACUAAUACUCAAAUCUACCAUAGCACCUGCAUCAUUUUGUACUUUUCUUUUUAUAUCUGAAGGGCCCUUGAGGAUCCGCGGGAGACGCUGAGCCUGGCACAGUGCUGGGAGCAUAGUAGACGCUGAAUAAAUGUUUGUUGAAUGAAUGAACCUUCAUGUAUUUUUCUGAGGACGUUUCUCCUAAAAAUAACAGGGAAUUUUGCACAGGAACAUCCUCUGCCUUAUCAAAAAAAUGCAGAGAACUGCAUGAUGGAUCUGAACAUGAAACAUGGCCACAUUGGGUCCUUCGUGGAGUCCUUGGAGACAGGAACUUAGUCCCUGGUCUCAGCUGGUUUAGAGCAAGUUCCCAUUUGACAGUGACUUAAGGUCUCUUGGGACCCAAAUCAUGUUCCGUUUAUAACCUCUUGGUGAUGUGGUGUGGAAACACACAGCUCCUGUGCUGCAGAGUCCGGCCUCUUGGGAUUUCCUUAGUAGAGGAAUGUGUGGUGAUGGCACGAAGGAAGGAGCAGCGUUCCAGAAGAAAGCCCAG
rnacentral:lncRNA from 13 species